GACUUCCUCAUGGCGCCUGCAGGAUCUCCGUCAUGCUGGUGAGAUUCGAGGCCCACCGUGCAGAGGAAGGACAGCAUGCGAAUAUUCCUUUGACAGACUGGCUCACAAAUACCUUAUAUUGCUGAGAAUAAUUGUGGAUCUUUAGGUGACAAUAUACAUAAUAGUCUUGCGUAGUUCAAGUUAUUUACGCGUAUGUUGCCAAAAUUAUGUACAUUUAUGCACCAAAAUGAUGUACAUUUAUGCACCAAAAUGAUGUACAUUUAUGCAACAAAAUGAUAUACACUUAUUCAACAAAAUGAUGUACACAUUCACCAAAAUUAUGUACAUUGCACCAAAAUUAUGUACACUUAUGCAACAAGAUUAUGUACACUUAUGCAACAAAAUGAUGUACAUUUAUGCACCAAAAUGAUGUAUACUUAUGCACCAAAAUCAUGUACAUUUAUCCAACAAAAUGAUGUACUCUUAUGUAAAAGCCACGGAUCCUUGAGUAGAAAACUCUUUAUACAUGUAGCAAAAGUACGUUUAUGAAACAAGAUUUCUUUUCUUUGUUAAAUCAAUAUGUGAUUUCAGUUUAUUAGUGAUCUAGUGCAAUUAAGUGUAGUUCUUAUGCCCCAUUGUAGAUUGCAAAUAAAAUAAAUGAUUUUCUCCUCAUCAACAGAAA